AAUAUAUCCGGAAGCAACUGUCAUGGCUGCUGUCAGUGAGGGCCCGUAAUGGAGAUCGAGUCAAGGGUUGCCCAGGGACACUUAAGAGCCUUCGGCUUCAAGGAGGCCUCUCAAAGGACAAAGGAUGAGACUGCCUGGCGGCAGAGUGCCCCCCACAAUCGUAGGAACUGUGUCGCCGCGCUUCCCGUUAACUUGCCGCUAAGUUUUUCUAGAAAAGUCGCCCUUCUUGCCAGGGUGGGACCUCACUUCUGACCUAGCCCUUCUUUGUGUACCAAGUUUUUGUUUCCGUCAUUUCCCGCAGCCCGGGAGCUCGGCGGGCGAUACUGUGGUAGCCUGGGAGGAAGGGGCGGGCCGGAUGCUGGAACCGAGAGAGGUGGGGCUCGUCGAGGAGUCACGGGCGGCCGAGGCUGGAGUCUCCUAAAUGCAACCUUGAGCUGUUCCACCCUUUGGUGCUUGGUCUGUUAGCUCGAGGUGCUCCUCACCGUGGAGGCGUUUAGAGCUGGUCAUAAGGCUCUUACCUGCUGACCCAACCACCCUCAACCACAGCUUGCCCUGCUCCAGAUAGACUUUGAUCCUAGAAAAUAUCUAAGAUGGGUGUAGUGCAGUAUGUUAUUGUUUUAAGUCUCAAACAUAAGCAAACUAUUAUUAAAAGUUUUAGAAUUAAUAGGCAGAGUUCA
rnacentral:lncRNA from 10 species